rnacentral:rRNA from 1 species
UAAUACGUAGGGUGCGAGCGUUAAUCGGAAUUACUGGGCGUAAAGCGUGCGCAGGCGGUUUAGUAAGACAGGCGUGAAAUCCCCGGGCUCAACCUGGGAACUGCGCUUGUGACUGCUAAGCUAGAGUACGGCAGAGGGGGGUGGAAUUCCACGUGUAGCAGUGAAAUGCGUAGAGAUGUGGAGGAACACCGAUGGCGAAGGCAGCCCCCUGGGCCGAUACUGACGCUCAUGCACGAAAGCGUGGGUAGCAAACAGGAUUAGAUACCCUGGUAGUCCACGCCCUAAACGAUGUCAACUAGGUGUUGGGUGGGUAAAACCAUUUAGUACCGUAGCUAACGCGUGAAGUUGACCGCCUGGGGAGUACGGCCGCAAGGUUAAAACUCAAAGGAAUUGACGGGGACCCGCACAAGCGGUGGAUGAUGUGGAUUAAUUCGAUGCAACGCGAAAAACCUUACCUACCCUUGACAUGUCCAGAAGCCCGAAGAGAUUUGGGUGUGCCCGAAAGGGAGCUGGAACACAGGUG